CCACGUCAUCUUCUUACAGUAUAAUAUUUACAAUUUGUUAACUUUCAUAAAAAAAAAACAAAUAAUAUGAUAAAAACAAAAAAAAACAAAAAAAAAUAAUUACAAAAACACGUUCGGGAAAGUUAGGGUUGCUUCGGGGAAUGAGCAACCUGUCUUACUGCCAAGUGCCCAACUUCCUGGUAGAUGCGGCUUCCCCCAAACCCCCCUCAAUUUGUCAUAAUUUACACAACUGC
rnacentral:lncRNA from 1 species